GACGAACGCUGGCGGCGUGCUUAACACAUGCAAGUCGAGCGGUAAGGCCCUUUCGGGGGUACACGAGCGGCGAACGGGUGAGUAACACGUGGGUGACCUGCCCUCAGCUCUGGGAUAAGCCUGGGAAACCGGGUCUAAUACCGGAUAUGACUCCAUGACGCAUGUUGUGGGGUGGAAAGCCUUGUGCGGCUGAGGAUGGGCCCGCGGCCUAUCAGCUUGUUGGUGGGGUGAUGGCCUACCAAGGCGACGACGGGUAGCCGGCCUGAGAGGGCGACCGGCCACACUGGGACUGAGACACGGCCCAGACUCCUACGGGAGGCUGCAGUCGAGAAUCUUCCGCAAUGGGCGCAAGCCUGACGGAGCGACGCCGCGUGGAGGACGAAGGCCUGGUUGU
rnacentral:rRNA from 1 species